AGAACCUUCGGGUUAGUGGCGGACGGGUGAGUAACGCGUGAGAAUCUGCCCUCAGGAGGGGGAUAACGGCUGGAAACGGCCGCUAAUACCCCAUAUGCCGAGAGGUGAAAUGAAUUUCGCCUGAGGAUGAGCUCGCGUCUGAUUAGCUAGUUGGUGUGGUAAAGGCUCACCAAGGCAUCGAUCAGUAGCUGGUCUGAGAGGAUGAUCAGCCACACUGGGACUGAGACACGGCCCAAACUCCUACGGGAGGGAGCAGUGGGGAAUUUUCCGCAAUGGGCGCAAGCCUGACGGAGCAACGCCCCGUGAGGGAUGAAGGCCUCUGGGCUGUAAACCUCUUUUUUCAAGGAAAAAAAUCUGACGGUCCUUGUUGAAUAAGCCACGGUUAAUUCCGUGCCCCCCGCCGCGGUAAUACGGGAGUGGCAGGGGUUUUCCGGAAUUUUUGGGGGUAAAG
rnacentral:rRNA from 1 species